rnacentral:rRNA from 1 species
AUUAGCUAGUUGGUGGGGUAAAGGCCUACCAAGGCGACGAUCUGUAGCGGGUCUGAGAGGAUGAUCCGCCACACUGGGACUGAGACACGGCCCAGACUCCUACGGGAGGCAGCAGUGGGGAAUAUUGGACAAUGGGCGAAAGCCUGAUCCAGCCAUGCCGCGUGUGUGAAGAAGGCCUUUUGGUUGUAAAGCACUUUAAGCGAGGAGGAGGCUACUGGGAUUAAUACUCUUGGAUAGUGGACGUUACUCGCAGAAUAAGCACCGGCUAACUCUGUGCCAGCAGCCGCGGUAAUACAGAGGGUGCGAGCGUUAAUCGGAUUUACUGGGCGUAAAGCGUGCGUAGGCGGCUUUUUAAGUCGGAUGUGAAAUCCCUGAGCUUAACUUAGGAAUUGCAUUCGAUACUGGGAAGCUAGAGUAU